UUUAAGGUUUAUAGUUUAUAUAUGUUCUAUGAUUCAGGGUUUAAGGAAUACGAGUUAGAGGUUUAGGGAUUAUGGUGUAAGAGUUGGGAUUUAAGGUUUAGGUGUUUGGGGUUAAGGGUUAGGGGUUUAGGGGUUUAUAGUUAAUGUUUUAUGAUUCAAGGUUUAGGGAAUAUGGGUUAAGGGUUUAUGUAUUAUGGUUUGUGUUUUAUCAUUUGAGAUUGGGGCUUAGGGUGUAGGUGUUAGGGGUUAAGGGUCAUGGUUUAUGAUUUACAAGUUUAAGAUUUAAGGUUGAAGGGAUAAGAGGGCUCAGAGUUUAGGGUUUAAAGUUUAUAAGUUAUUGUUUGGGGUCUGGAGGUUUAAAGUUUAAGGGUUUAGGGUCUAUGAUCUAGUGUCUAAGGAAUAGAGUUUACAGUUUAUGGUUUUCAGGAUAGGGG
rnacentral:lncRNA from 1 species